rnacentral:rRNA from 1 species
GACGAACGCUGGCGGCGUGCUUAACACAUGCAAGUCGAACGGAAAGGCCCUGCUUUUGUGGGGUGCUCGAGUGGCGAACGGGUGAGUAACACGUGAGUAACCUGCCCUUGACUUUGGGAUAACUUCAGGAAACUGGGGCUAAUACCGGAUAGGAGCUCCUGCUGCAUGGUGGGGGUUGGAUAGUUUCGGCGGUUGGGGAUGGACACGCGGCUUAUCAGCUUGUUGGUGGGGUAGUGUCUUACCAAGGCUUUGACGGGUAGCCGGCCUGAGAGGGUGACCGGCCACAUUGGGACUGGGAUACGGCCCAGACUCCUACGGGAGGCAGCAGUGGGGAAUAUUGCACAAUGGGCGGAAGCCUGAUGCAGCAACGCCGCGUGCGGGAUGACGGCCUUCGGGUUGUAUACCGCUUUCGCCUGUGACGAAGCGUGAGUGACGGUAAUGGGUAAAGAAGCACCGGCUAACUACGUG